UACGGGAGGCAGCGGGGGGAAUAUUGCACAAUGGGCGCAAGCCUGAUGCAGCCAUGCCGCGUGUAUGAAGAAGGCCUUCGGGUUGUAAAGUACUUUCAGUCGUGAGGAAGGUGUUAAGGUUAAUAACCUUAGCAAUUGACGUUAGCGACAGAAGAAGCACCGGCUAACUCCGUGCCAGCAGCCGCGGUAAUACGGAGGGUGCGAGCGUUAAUCGGAAUUACUGGGCGUAAAGGGCACGCAGGCGGUUAAUUAAGUUGGAUGUGAAAUCCCCGGGCUUAACCUGGGAAUGGCAUUCAAGACUGGUUAGCUAGAGUCUUGUAGAGGGGGUAGAAUUCCAUGUGUAGCGGUGAAAUGCGUAGAGAUGUGGAGGAAUACCGGUGGCGAAGGCGGCCCCUGGACAAAGACUGACGCUCAUGUGCGAAAGCGUGGGGAGCAAACAGGGAUUAGAUACC
rnacentral:rRNA from 1 species